rnacentral:rRNA from 1 species
GAUGAACGCUGGCGGCGUGCCUAAUACAUGUAAGUCGAGCGAACGGACGAGAAGCUUGCUUCUCUGAUGUUAGCGGCGGACGGGUGAGUAACACGUGGAUAACCUACCUAUAAGACUGGGAUAACUUCGGGAAACCGGAGCUAAUACCGGAUGAUAUUUUGAACCGCAUGGUUCAAAAGUGAAAGACGGUCUUGCUGUCACUUAUAGAUGGAUCCGCGCUGCAUUAGCUAGUUGGUAAGGUAACGGCUUACCAAGGCAACGAUGCAUAGCCGACCUGAGAGGGUGAUCGGCCACACUGGAACUGAGGCACGGUCCAGACUCCUACGGGAGGCAGCAGUAGGGAAUCUUCCGCAAUGGGCGAAAGCCUGACGGAGCAACGCCGCGUGAGUGAUGAAGGUCUUCGGAUCGUAAAACUCUGUUAUUAGGGAAGAACAUAUGUGUAAGUAACUGUGCACAUCUUGACGGUACCUAAUCAGAAAGCCACGGCUAACUACGUG